AAAACUAAAAUAAAAAAGUGCUCAACAAUUAUAUAUUUCUAAUUUCUCCCGCUAACAAUUCAGGUAAAUACUGUAAAACCCUAGCUUCGAAAUUCGUUGCGGCGGUAUAUAUCUUCGGCUGAAAGCCUUAACGCCCACGCCUGUAUAAACCCCAGCUAAUGAUCAUGUUAAAAAUUUCAUAACUGUAUAUUUCAGUACACUGGGUUUUGAUGGGCGAAUGCAGAUCAAUGUGGGAAUUGGGCUUAGACCCUAUGUGCCUCUCCCAUGUGAAGCUUUUGGCAUUUGAUCUUCUUUCCCUGCAAAAUCCUACUUCAUUGGGAGGCCCAGACACCUUUUGGAGAAAGGGCAGGCCUGUUAGAAAUGUGGAGAUGAUGGGUGUGGUUGUUAGCAGGGAAAGAAAAGAUAAGUUUCUUAAGUUCCAGGUAGACGAUGGCACUGCUUGUGUUCCAUGCAUUCUCUGGCUCAACCAUCUUACUUCCAGAUAUUAUUCAAGGGUGCAGAAACCUCAGUUGGAUUGUGUUGCCGCAAUGGCUCUUGAACAAGCCGAGGAGGUGCAGUUGGGUCGAUUGGUGAGGUUGCAGGGUAGGGUUACUGUUUACAACAAGCAAUUGCAGAUAACAGUGGAAUCUGUACUGGUUGAGAGAGAUCCCAAUGCUGAGAUUCAUCACUGGAUGGAUUGCAUUCGUCUUGCAGUGCGGUGUUACAACUUACCUGCUUCUUUUCCUUCUAAGAACAAUGCUUUAUGACCCAAAUGGAAUGAAGUCAAUGAGCGGGUGGUCCUGUGCCUUUGAUUGACUGUGUCUUCAGGAAAAUAAUCGAUGGGAAGCUGUAGAAUUUCUGGGAGUGGAUUCCACUAUAAACCCUGAGCAAUUGCAGAAGCAAAAGGUGCAGUGGAGAUCUGUAAAAGUGGUUACCUUCGUUUAGACAUUUUACAAAUAGUAUUGAAGUUUGUGGAAUGGUUACGAAUUUCAUUAAGGUGCCUUCGCAAAAUUGCUGCUAUAUGUUUAUACAGGGGAAGAAGCAUGACUCCCAUUCUUGAAUAGUUUUCUCGCUGGAAUGAAUAUACGGAUAUUUUCAAGUUGAAAUUAAUAUUGUGAAGGUCCUUGAAAAUAUGGAGAUUUUUCUUUGGAGUCAGCCUCCUUACUGUGCAAUUAUUGUUAGAACAUCGCAAAGUGCGGUGUUAUUAUUUGCUCGCUCCUUUGCCUCCAAAGCACAAUGCUAAUCACCCAACUGGAAUGAAGUUAGCAGGUCAGGUGUACAUGAUGGGUCUAUGGUUGGCUAUCUUUUUUCCAGUAGCUACUUUUUUAGUAAAAAUUUCAGAAAUUAGAUUUGUAAAUGCAUCAGUGUCUUUUUUAAGGCUUCUCCAUUUUUACCAAUUCGCUACCUUUUUUCACCAUAUUUCCAAAAUUUAGACUAAUCAAUGUUCAUAAUAUCUUUUACAGGCUAUUUUUGUCAAUUGGAUAAAAUUUCACAAAAUUGAAAUGUUUAUAAAGUUGUUAGAUCGUUAAAU